rnacentral:tRNA from 1 species
GUUGUUCUAGUAUAAGUAGUAUUAUUGAUUUCCAAUCAAAAGGUCUAAAUGGAAUGAUA